UACGAAGGGGGCUAGCGUUGCUCGGAAUCACUGGGCGUAAAGCGCACGUAGGCGGCUUGUUAAGUCAGGGGUGAAAUCCUGGAGCUCGAACUCCAGAACUGCCUUUGAUACUGGCGAGCUCGAGUCCGGGAGAGGUGAGUGGAACUGCGAGUGUAGAGGUGAAAUUCGUAGAUAUUGGGAGGAACACCGGUGGCGAAGGCGGCUCACUGGCUCGUAACUGACGCUCAUGCACGACAGCGUGGGGAGUCAAACAGG
rnacentral:rRNA from 1 species